AAACCAUAAUAAUCUUCCAAUCCAACAUACGCGCACCCUCCCUCACAUACCAAAAGUCCCAGCCGUCGGUGAUCCCUUCAAAAUCCUAGCAUCCGCUCGCCUUUGACGACCCCUUCAAAUGUUGGCAUCCCUAUCUACUAUCAUUCAUUAUCAGUUAAUAGCAUCGAGGUGCUGUUAUGGCCAAAUGCGGCGUCGCCCAGAUGUAUGCACCGCAUGGAAAAAUUAGGGAGGGGGUUUGGGAUUUUUUUGGGGUGAUAUCUUCCUCCUCUGAUCUGAUUUGUGUAGUCGGGGUUUUGUGGUUGUUUUGAUUGUUGGUUGUUGGCGAUUUGCUUGUUUUCAAUUUGCAAAUGGUGGUUGGUGGCGAUGAUGAUUUUGAAGUUUAAAAUGGUAGUUUUUUGGAGGUAGUAGCGGUGGUCCGGGUGGUGGUAGUGUUGGUUUGUUCCGGGAGAUAAUAUGGUUGUUGUGGUGGUGUAGUUGUUGAUGUAGAGACGACAACGAUGGUGCUGAAAUGCAGAUUUGGGAAUUUUUUUAGUGGGGGUUGGGGUUGUGGUGGUAGGCUAGUGGUGGUGGUUUGGUUGUGUUUAAGACGACGAUUUUGUUGCUAGGAGAUGGUAGCGGUGGUUCUGGCGAUGCUGAUGGUGGAUCUAGAGUUGGUGGGGGUGGAUUUGGCAGUGCAUCUAGCAGUGGCGGUGGUGAUGGUCCUAGUGGCGACGG
rnacentral:lncRNA from 1 species